GGACCCGCACAAGUAGUGGAGCAUGUGGUUUAAUUCGAAGAUACGCGCAGAACCUUACCAACACUUGACAUGUUCGUCGCGACUCUAAGAGAUUAGAGUUUUCGGUUCGGCCGGACGAAACACAGGUGCUGCAUGGCUGUCGUCAGCUCGUGUCGUGAGAUGUUGGGUUAAGUCCCGCAACGAGCGCAACCCUCACUUUUAGUUGCCAUCAUUAAGUUGGGCACUCUGAAAGAACUGCCAGUGAUAAGCUGGAGGAAGGUGGGGAUGACGUCAAGUCCUCAUGGCCCUUACGUGUUGGGCUACACACGUGCUACAAUGGCAAGUACAACGAGUCGCAAUACCGCGAGGUGGAGCAAAUCUCUUAAAGCUUGUCUCAGUUCGGAUAGGAGUCUGCAACUCGACUCCUUGAAGUUGGAGUCGCUAGUAAUCG
rnacentral:rRNA from 1 species